rnacentral:rRNA from 1 species
UACGUGCCAGCAGCCGCGGUAAUACGUAGGGUGCAAGCGUUGUCCGGAAUUAUUGGGCGUAAAGAGCUCGUAGGCGGUCUGUCACGUCGGCUGUGAAAACCUGGGGCUCAACUCCGGGCCUGCAGCCGAUACGGGCAGACUAGAGUUCGGCGGGGGAGACUGGAAUUCCUGGUGUAGCGGUGAAAUGCGCAGAUAUCAGGAGGAACACCGGUGGCGAAGGCGGGUCUCUGGGCCGAAACUGACGCUGAGGAGCGAAAGCGUGGGGAGCAAACAGGAUUAGAUACCCUGGUAGUCCACGCCGUAAACGUUGGGCACUCGGUGUGGGCCUCAUUCCACGAGGUCCGUGCCGCAGCUAACGCAUUAAGCGCCCCGCC